GAUGAACGCUGGCGGCGUGCUUAACACAUGCAAGUCGAACGGAAAGGCCCAAGCUUGCUUGGGUACUCGAGUGGCGAACGGGUGAGUAACACGUGGGUGAUCUGCCCUGCACUUUGGGAUAAGCCUGGGAAACUGGGGCUAAUACCGGAUAGGACCACGUCUUGGAUGUUGUGGUGGAAAGUUUUUUCGGUGUGGGAUGAGCACGCGGCCUUUCGGCGUUUGUGUGUGGGAAUGGCCUAUCACGACGUCGGCGGGGGGCCGGGCCGUGAGAGUGUACGGCCACAUUGGGGCAGAGAUACGGGCCAGACUCCUACGGGGGGGAGCAGUGGGGAAUAUUGCACAAUGGGGGCGAGCCUGAUGCGGCGACGCCGCGUGUGGGAUGACGGCCUUCGGGGUGUAAACUCCUUUCGCUAGGGACGAAGCGUGUUUGUGACGGUACCUGGAGAAGAAGCACCGGCUAACUACGUG
rnacentral:rRNA from 1 species